GACGAACGCUGGCGGCGUGCCUAAUACAUGCAAGUAGAACGCACAGUUUAUACCGUAGCUUGCUACACCAUAGACUGUGAGUUGCGAACGGGUGAGUAACGCGUAGGUAACCUGCCUGGUAGCGUGGGAUAACUAUUGGAAACGAUAGCUAAUACCGCAUAAUAUUGAUUAUUGCAUGAUAAUUGAUUGAAAGAUGCUAUUGCAUCACUACCAGAUGGACCUGCGUUGUAUUAGCUAGUAGGUGAGGUAACGGCUCCCCUAGGCGACGAUACAUAGCCGACCUGCGAGGGUGGACGGCCACACUGGGACUGAGACACGGCCCAGACUCCUACGGGAGGCAGCAGUAGGGAAUCUUCGGCAAUGGACGAAAGUCUGACCGAGCAACGCCGCGUGAGUGAAGAAGGUUUUCGGAUCGUAAAGCUCUGUUGUAAGAGAAGAACGGGUGUGAGAGUGGAAAGUUCACACUGUGACGGUAUCUUACCAGAAAGGGACGGCUAACUACGUG
rnacentral:rRNA from 1 species